rnacentral:rRNA from 1 species
GGAAUAUUGGACAAUGGGCGCAAGCCUGAUCCAGCCAUGCCGCGUGUGUGAAGACGGCCUUCGGGUUGUAAAGCACUUUCAGCGAGGAGGAAGGGGUUGUUGUUAAUCGCAACAAUUUUUGACGUUACUCUCAGAAGAAGCACCGGCUACCUCCGUGCCAGCAGCGGCGGUAAUACGGAGGGUGCAAGCGUUCAUCGGAAUUACUGGGCGUAAAGCGCACGCAGGCGGCUUUUUAAGUCGGAUGUGAAAGCCCCGGGCUCAACCUGGGAAUUGCAUUCGAUACUGGGGAGCUAGAGUAUGUGAGAGGGGGGUAGAAUUCCAAGUGUAGCGGUGGAAUGCGUAGAGAUUUGGAGGAAUACCAGUGGCGAAGGCGGCCCCCUGGCACAAUACUGACGCUCAGGUGCGAAAGCGUGGGGAGC